GACAGAGGGUGCAAACGUUGCUCGGAAUUACUGGGCGUAAAGCGCGUGUAGGCGGGCUAGUAAGUCGGACGUGAAAUCCCUGGGCUCAACCCAGGAACUGCAUCCGAAACUAUUAGCCUUGAGUGGUGGAGAGGGAAGCAGAAUUCCUGGUGUAGAGGUGAAAUUCGUAGAUAUCAGGAGGAACACCGGUGGCGAAGGCGGCUUCCUGGACACUAACUGACGCUGAGACGCGAAAGCGUGGGGAGCAAACAGG
rnacentral:rRNA from 2 species